rnacentral:rRNA from 1 species
GGGGAUUUGGACAUGGGCGAAAGCCUGAUCCAGCCAUGCCGCGUGUGUGAAUAAGGUCUUCGGAUUGUAAAGCACUUUAAGUUGGGAGGAAGGGCAGUAAAUUAAUACUCUGCUGUUUUGACGUUACCGACAGAAUAAGCACCGGCUAAC